rnacentral:rRNA from 1 species
UACGGAGGGGCUAGCGUUGUUCGGAAUUACUGGGCGUAAAGCGCACGUAGGCGGCUUUGCAAGUUAGAGGUGAAAGCCCGGGGCUCAACUCCGGAAUUGCCUUUAAAACUGCAUCGCUAGAAUUGUGGAGAGGUAAGUGGAAUUCCGAGUGUAGAGGUGAAAUUCGUAGAUAUUCGCAAGAACACCAGUGGCGAAGGCGGCUCACUGGCCCGGAACUGACGCUGAGGCACGAAAGCGUGGGGAGCAAACAGG